rnacentral:rRNA from 1 species
GACGAACGCUGGCGGCGUGCCUAAUACAUGCAAGUUGAGCGCUGAAGGUUGGUACUUGUACCGACUGGAUGAGCAGCGAACGGGUGAGUAACGCGUGGGGAAUCUGCCUUUGAGCGGGGGACAACAUUUGGAAACGAAUGCUAAUACCGCAUAAAAACUUUAAACACAAGUUUUAAGUUUGAAAGAUGCAAUUGCAUCACUCAAAGAUGAUCCCGCGUUGUAUUAGCUAGUUGGUGAGGUAAAGGCUCACCAAGGCGAUGAUACAUAGCCGACCUGAGAGGGUGAUCGGCCACAUUGGGACUGAGACACGGCCCAAACGCCUACGGGAGGCAGCAGUAGGGAAUCUUCGGCAAUGGACGAAAGUCUGACCGAGCAACGCCGCGUGAGGGAAGAAGGUUGUCGGAUCGUAAAACUCGGUUGGUAGAGAAGAACGUUGGUGAGAGUGGAAAGCUCAUCAAGUGACGGUAACUACCCAGAAAGGGACGGCUAACUACGUG